rnacentral:lncRNA from 10 species
GGAGAAGAUAAGAAGCAGAGAUUGAGGUAAAUCCAUGUCCAUUUACCUGUGUUCUGUGAGACAGAUGAAGCCUGGACUUCUGCUAUCCUGCCCUUGCUGGGAAUGAGCAGGGUUGUACCUGCACUCAUCAUGGAAUAAGCACUAAAGAAACAAAGCUACAACAGAAGAUGUCCUCUACUGCAGGGCACCUUACAUUCCAAUCCUCCAAUAUGGCAGCGAGUCAAAAUCUCAAAAGACCUGAGUGCCUUCUGCGUAAGUCCCCGUAGGCUUCUAGUAUUCAUUUUACAAGUAUACUGAUGCUCUCAGUUGAUGCUGAGGGGGUGGCUGUUCAUGAAGAUGAUGGAAUUGGCUUCGGCAGAGGUCUCUCUUUGACCAUCUAGAGGCACUGUUGCUUAUCUAUCAGGAAACGGAGGGAGGCACUGGGAAUUUGAACUCGAGCUCUGGAGUUCUUCCAUGCAGCUGUGUUUACGUAUCAUCAAGCACCGAUUCAUUGCCCGUUGGGACAGAGGAGAAUCAGGCCUGGUCUGGCAUCAUUGCCGGGUGGGUGUGAAAUGCCACUUCUACCGAGACCAACUGGAAAUGAAAGAUCGUCAACAGUCAAAAAGGUCACUGCAUAAAUGCCUGUGAAGUCCAAGUAACUGUCAGAGACAGAAUACGCUUUGCAGCGGAGAGUUUUCCAGGAAAGAAAAAUGGUCUCUGUGAAUGUUCUUUGGGAGGCCACGGAUGGCUUGUUCUGAAGUGAAUGGAAUUGCUUUGCAGAAGACGCAUAGCCAGGCUGAGUUCAGGAGGUAUCUCUUUUUUUUUUUUUUUUUUUUUUUGAGACGGAGUCUCGCUCUGUUGCCCAGGCUGGAGUGCAGUGGCACAAUCUCAGCUCACUGCAACCUCUGCUUCCCGGGUUCAAGCAAUUCUCCUGUCUCCACCUCCCGAGUAGCUGGCAUUACAGGCACUGCCACCAAGCCUGGCUAAUUUUUGUAUUUUUAGUAGAGAUGGAGUUUCACGAUGUUGGCCAGGCUAGUCUCGAACUCCUGACCUCAAGUGAUCCACCCACCUCAGCCUCUCAAAGUGCUGGGAUAACAGACGUGAGCCACUGCACCCGGCCCAGGAGGUGUCUUAAUCCAUUUGCUGUUGCUACAACAGAGUAACACCGUCUGGGUAAUUCACAGAAGAAGUUUAUUUUGUAAAGUCCUGGAGGCUGGCAAGUCCAAAAGGCAUGGUGCCUGCAUCUGAUGAGAGCCUCUUGCUAUAGUACAACAUAGUGGAGGACUUAUAAUGCCACCAGCUCUGUCCAUGUGGGCCUCGCUUUGAUGAUCUUACCUAAUUCUAAUUGUCUCCUAAGGGUGCCACUCCAAAUACUACAACAUACUAAUUUGAGAGAGAAGUUUCCAACACAUGAAGCUUGGGAGACACAAACCAUACAGGGUGGAGUCAAGACGGCUUGUUUAAUUCGGCCAACUUGAGCAAAGAGGCAUAAUGGUUAUUGCCUCUCUGGGUUCACUAAACACAUAAACAUGCCCACACUAAUAAUUCAUGUCGACCGCAGUACUCUCUGCUUUUCCUGAAUAGCAUAUUGUGUUGAACAGGUUAUACGACCUUGGGUAGAGACUUAGCUCUCUUUAAGCCUCCAUUUCUCAUCUGUAAAAUGAGAAUGAAAGAUGGUUUCUCCGUAUUUAUGGAAGGGUUCCAACAAGGUAAAGUGUGUAGCGUACUUUGUCAAUUCUAAAGCACUCUUCUGAUAUAAAUUAUAGCAUCCCCGGAUUCAUUGUUUGAGUUGGUUUCUUUUUUAAAAUUAAUUUCUGUUGUAUGUAUUUAAGGUGUGCAACAUGAUUUUUUGAUAUAGUGACAUAGUGAAAUGAUUAUAAUUGUUAAGAAAAUGAACACAGCUAUCAUCUCACAUAUUUACCUUUUUUGCGACAAGAGCACCUUAAAUCUACUCUCUUAACAAAAA